CUGAUGUUAGCGGCGGACGGGUGAGUAACACGUGGGUAACCUGCCUGUAAGACUGGGAUAACUCCGGGAAACCGGGGCUAAUACCGGAUGGUUGUUUGAACCGCAUGGUUCAAACAUAAAAGGUGGCUUCGGCUACCACUUACAGAUGGACCCGCGGCGCAUUAGCUAGUUGGUGAGGUAACGGCUCACCAAGGCAACGAUGCGUAGCCGACCUGAGAGGGUGAUCGGCCACACUGGGACUGAGACACGGCCCAGACUCCUACGGGAGGCAGCAGUAGGGAAUCUUCCGCAAUGGACGAAAGUCUGACGGAGCAACGCCGCGUGAGUGAUGAAGGUUUUCGGAUCGUAAAGCUCUGUUGUUAGGGAAGAACAAGUACCGUUCGAAUAGGGCGGUACCUUGACGGUACCUAACCAGAAAGCCACGGCUAACUACGUGCCAGCAGCCGCGGUAAUACGUAGGUGGCAAGCGUUGUCCGGAAUUAUUGGGCGUAAAGGGCUCGCAGGCGGUUUCUUAAGUCUGAUGUGAAAGCCCCCGGCUCAACCGGGGAGGGUCAUUGGAAACUGGGGAACUUGAGUGCAGAAGAGGAGAGUGGAAUUCCACGU
rnacentral:rRNA from 1 species